rnacentral:lncRNA from 1 species
ACGAAGAAGUUAUCGGCUCCACCACCGCCUCCGCCGCCGCUGUGGGCGCCGUCGGCGGCUCGAAGACCGAUCAAGGUGAGGAGUUCCACGAGGGACGAGAUCGACCGGUACUGGCGGAUGAGAAGAAUGAUCGAGGAGGACCACCUCCUCUUCGCGCAGAAGGCGGCGGCCAGGAUCAGGGCCAAGGCUCUCAAGGCGAGUCCUUCCCGCUUCUUGAUUGCGUUGAUUUAUGGCACCAAGAGCUGUUUUCGUUGGACCUUGCCGCCGCCAUGAUGAAAUUGUGCUGUGCAGGAGGAAGACCAUCGACGAUUCGAGGAGCUGCUGCAGAAGAUGAUGGAUGAAGAGGAGGAACAGACGGGCGGCGGCGGCGGAAACAAGGAGCUACCGAUAGGAAUCAAGGACUGGUGGGCUUGAAACCACUCACCUCCGCUUUGUCUUCUUUUCUAAAGACAAUCAAGCAAAGCAUUUAGGAUGUUGACUUUGUGGCUGCAUGAACAGUGAACAUGAUUCCAUCCUUUUUCUUGAGACUCCCUUUACUCCACCAAGCCAAAAAAGUGAAGAGACGAUCGAAAGAUACAUAUCAUCAUCUGGUUUCCGACUCUACUAAUUCUUAG